rnacentral:rRNA from 1 species
GACGUUAGCGGCGGACGGGUGAGUAACACGUGGGUAACCUACCUAUAAGACUGGAAUAACUCCGGGAAACCGGGGCUAAUGCCGGAUAACAUAUAGAACCGCAUGGUUCUAUAGUGAAAGAUGGUUUUGCUAUCACUUAUAGAUGGACCCGCGCCGUAUUAGCUAGUUGGUAAGGUAAUGGCUUACCAAGGCGACGAUACGUAGCCGACCUGAGAGGGUGAUCGGCCACACUGGAACUGAGACACGGUCCAGACUCCUACGGGAGGCAGCAGUAGGGAAUCUUCCGCAAUGGGCGAAAGCCUGACGGAGCAACGCCGCGUGAGUGAUGAAGGGUUUCGGCUCGUAAAACUCUGUUAUUAGGGAAGAACAUAUGUGUAAGUAACUGUGCACAUCUUGACGGUACCUAAUCAGAAAGCCACGGCUAACUACGUGCCAGCAGCCGCGGUAAUACGUAGGUGGCAAGCGUUAUCCGGAAUUAUUGGGCGUAAAGCGCGCGUAGGCGGUUUCUUAAGUCUGA